rnacentral:rRNA from 1 species
UAGGGAAUCUUCGGCAAUGGGGGGGACCCUGACCGAGCAACGCCGCGGGAGGGAAGAAGGUUUUCGGAUCGUAAAACUCUGUUGUUAAGGAAGAAAGAGGGUGAGAAUGGAAAGUUCAUACUGUGACGGUACUUAACCAGAAAGGGACGGCUAACUACGUGCCAGCAGCCGCGGUAAUACGUAGGUCCCGAGCGUUGUCCGGAUUUAUUGGCGUAAAGCGAGCGCAGGCGGUUAGAUAAGUCUGAAGUUAAAGGCAGUGGCUCAACCAUUGUAGGCUUUGGAAACUGUUUAACUUGAGUGCAGAAGGGGAGAGUGGAAUUCCAUGUGUAGCGGUGAAAUGCGUAGAUAUAUGGAGGAACACCGGUGGCGAAAGCGGCUCUCUGGUCUGUAACUGACGCUGAGGCUCGAAAGCGUGGGGAGCGAACAGG